GCCGCACGGCGCUGACCGAGAAAAGCAAGUUGGAGAAGGAUCACCUGUACAUGGCGUAUGCGGGUAUUAUGGCCAAGAGCUGUCACAUCGAAGAAGGGGAUGAAGAGGAGAAGGAGGAGGAGAAGGAGGAGGAGGAUCCGGAGGAUUCGUUCGAGGAGAAGGAGAUGGAGAAGCAGAAGCUGCUGUACCAGCAGUCGCGGCUGCACACGAGGGGAGCAGCUGAGAUGGUGCUGCAGAUGAUCAGCGCCUGCAAAGGUGGG